CACUCCAAAAUCUCCGUUCCCACUAAAACCUUCGUUUUUCCCGCACCAUAUACAGAUUCCAUUAAUUUGAUCCAUCAUUCUUCUCACUUUAUUUUUUCUUUUUCAAAAUUCGGUAAAAUUUCGAACACGUGCAUAUAGAUAUUUUUUCGAGUUUCUUUUACCAGUAAUUGAUCCGAAAGUUAUAUAACGUGUGAUAUUGCGUGCAAAUAUCUGUCGAACACGGUGAAAAUGGAGGAGUACCUGCACUACAUGAAGACUCUCCGCUUCCAAAUGAACGACGUUGAGGAUCAAGCGGCCAAAAUUACAGUCGAAGAGCAAAUGUUCAGCACCACUAUUCAAACUCUGGAAAAAGAUCUCGAGUUAGCAAAGAAUGAAAAGAGGCUAUGGAAAGAGGAAAACGACCAGAUGGCAAAAGCUAAAGGACAGAUCUGUUUGCAGAUUCUGGAAAAGCAGAAGAAAAUUGCUUCUUUGGAAUGUGAUUCUUCCACCCUUGUUCAGACAUUGGACCUUAUGCAACAAGAAAGACUAAGCUUGGCAGCAAAAAAUGUUGAAAGAAGCGCAUACUAUAUCAAGGUUGAAGAGGACAUUGCUAUGCAAUUAAAACAACAGAAGGAGUGGGCAAAUGCUCAAAAAUUUAGCUCACCGACUGGAGAGAGUGGCUCGAUGCAGGUAAAGGAAAAAGCAGGUGGCGCCAAUGAGUCUCGGGAUGAUGUGGCUGAAAGCAUAAUGGUGAAUUUGGAUGCUGCUAAAGCUAAGUUUGACCAGCUUACACAACUAAAAUUCAAUCUUGCUGGGGAGAAUAGAAAGCUGAGGGAGUCUGUUGAGCUAGUGAAGAGUAAAGUAAAUGACUUUCAGUUAUCCUCUCACGUUCUUCCACCACGGGUGGAGAAUGGUUUCAGCCAGAACUUAGGGAGUUGGAUGUGAAAAGCUUGGAAGAGGAGCUUCAAGCGCUCUUAUCAGACAAAGCUGGAGAAACUGAGUAUACGCAGUCUCUGCAACUCAAAAUUAUGAAACUGAAGGAAAUUUUGCAUGUUGUUAAAUGUUGCUGUGGAGAGGAAUACAGAGUAAAAUUGGAUCUUUGUGCAUGACAAUUAAGGAGGCAAUAAACACGGAAAUCAAAUAGGAAAUGUGGGUACAAUGGUUCAACAGGUGAUUACAGAGUAAAUUUGCAAUGAAGAAGAAUUGUUGCUAAAACUGCUAAUUUGUUUUGAUGUUGAAAAUUGCACACAAUGAAUGAAUACAAUCCGUGUUCUGCUGGGA